AGGUUGAUUUUCCGAAUGAGGAGAUUCUUACAAAGACUUUCAAGUACUCCCACGAUUAUUUACUUAAUGUUGAGAGCUCUCACACAUCGGCAACCAAGAAAAACCUCAUGGGAGAGGUAAUGAGAUCUAGAUAGCUUGAUUGUCCUCGUCGCCACCUUUGAUCUGUUCGAACAGUAGAAAAAACAGAAUAAAAAAAAGAUUCAAGCCAAAGUUAGAUCGUACCCAAGGUGGAUAGAGAUUUUUUAUGGAACGCUUUGUGGAGUUCUUGAUCAUGAGCUCCAAUUCCAAUUCCUCAUCCUCCCUGCUCCACAGUGGUGGUCUUCCAUUUGCAUCGCGAUUGUCAAAUUCCAUCCGCUCCAGUGCCUAUUAUUCCAGAUGUAUCUAUUAUCUCUACAGGUCACAUUUGAGCUAGCAAAUCCAUUUCAUGACUGCUUGCCAAGGAUUUACAACAAUGCAUAUAUCAAGCACUAUAGCAUUGAUGAUCCUUGGAUUGCUAAGACUAUUUAUCGGUAAGUGACAUUCAUACUAACCUUUAUAACUUCUCUCUCUUACAUCUCUUUUGUUAAAAGAUUGCCUCUUGUGAAUAAGAAAGUGCUUCUAGAACUUGCAAAUCGGUAUGCUCAACAAUGUCAAUCCUAUCAACCUUCUGAGCUGAAAAUAUUGGUGAAGUAAGUGAAAAAAUAGUUUUAUUAAACAAACAGUAAUUCAUUGGUGUGUUUUUAUUUAGAUGGUGGCAUUCAUCGCACUUUGAAGAUAUCCCUUCUACAAGAUUUAAAGCUAAUAUUAAUAUGCUCCCCUAUAUUUACUAUGUUAUUUGUGCAACUUUCCAUGAGCAAGAAUUUGGCCCGUUGAGACUUUUUUUUACCAAAACUUGCUGCAUGAAUACUUUAUUUGAUGAUAUUUUGGAUAGCGCAAAAAGUAUUACAGAGCUUGAUAGUCUCCAAAAUAUGAUUGAAAGGUUAUAUACAUCAAUUUUUAAAAGUUAAAAUAACACUUUCUUUUUUGUUUCCAUCCAGCUGGGAUACAUCUUUUUUAUCACAAAAAGAAUAUAAGAUUAUCUUUCAAGAAUUUUAUAAUACCAUUCUUGUUAUGACUAAAAUGGCUUCUAAAAUAAAUGAAAAUCUAUCUCCGGAAUUCAUCCACAAAUACCUUUUAGCAAUUGUAAGUAUUUUCUAUUUAUUUUUGCCACGGCUUAAUAGGGUUGUUCACAUUAAUCUUUACAGUAUGCUAAGCUUAUAAAAUCUGGGAUUACUGAUGCUCGUUGGAAAAUUCAAGGUUUUGAGGAGUAUAUGGAAAAUGCUGAAGUUAGCAUCUCCAUUGCAACUCACCUACUUAUGGGCAUAUUAUUUUGUGGUGACCCUUUAACAGAAGAUUUAUUAAACAUCAUUUGUGAUGGCAGGCUUCUUAAACUUGGUAGUAUCAUCUCUAGGAUUUGCAACGACAUCCAAACAUAUAAGGUUCCUUCUCUUCCUAUAUUUGGCUUUUAUUAUUUUUAAUCUCUUUCUUUCUUUUUAGGUUGAGAUGAAACUGGGGCAAUCGUUUCUUGUUAUAUGAAAGACCACCCAGGUGCAACUGAAGAAGAUGCACUAGCAUACUUACAAAGUUUGCUUGAGAAAACCAAAAAGCAACUCAACGAAAUCUAUUUCACUGAAAAAAAUCUACCCAAAAAUAUCAAAAGGUUUAACUUUGAUAUAGUACGGAUGAUGCUGUUCACCUACAACAAAACAAAGCAGAUAGAUCUCUUUAGAAACCCAGAUAAAGAGCUUCAAAGCAUGAUUGAAUUUUGUUUGAAAACUUAACAUACUAUAAAGUUAUAACUAAUGGUUAAAAAAACAUUUAAAGAAAAAACAAAAAGGUAAAGGUUAACUAGCCCUUUGUUUUUCUUUAGAGAACCUUCAACAUCCACAUCAGAAGGAUAACACAAGCAACAAGUAGUGAAACGUUUCAGAUCCUACAGUUCUAUCCUUCUGCUGUGCGGGCGGCCACAAGAUCUUCCUGCCAGCCAAAACUGAGAACUCAGGAAGGAGAAAAACGCAAGAAGAGAAUACCUUUUGUGUUGAAGGCUCGAUAACGUGGUCGACCUCCUGAGCACUGCUCAAAUAAAUACGCCAUUACGACAAGUCCGUUCUUCCGCAUGGAUACGUGCUGCUUUUCCACUGCACCUUAAAGGUACGAGCAUGGUAAAGUCCUGGAUUUGCCACAAGAAACCCCCAACACAGGCAAAUUUGUCAGCAUUUCCAUCUGAUAAUAUUGGAAAUCGAAUUCCACCUUGUGAAACAAACAAAAAGUCAGCAACUUCCUGAGACUCCAUAACACUCGUCAAGCUCUGUAAAUUUUUUACGCGAGUUCCGUUCAACCUUCCUGCGUUUAAAGAACUCUCAUAUGUGUGCCGCUUGCUAGUUGUAACCCACCAGUAACCAAGAAAUCAUAUCAAGUGAGAGAACUAGAAAAAGGAAAAAACCUUACAGAUUGGUGGCACCAAGUGGCGCCGUCCUGGCCAAGGUGGCUCCUCUUGAAGCAGCUGACAUUCAAGGCCAUCACACACCGCCACGGCCACUGUCUCCUCAAUUCAGCCUUUGGCUCCAAAUGUUGGCGGUGAUGGUCCAGGACACAGUUAUCUUGCUUGGUGGACAAGAUCUCGACGUCAUCGUCGCAACAGCAUCCGCAUUGACAUCUGGAAUUACAACAAAUGAACUCGAGGACAUGCAAGGUUUUGGUGUUCAGAUUGACACAAAGCAAUAUUAGAAAUGGUAACUAAACGGAACAGAAGUGAGACGUAUGGUCGAAAUAUAGUUACAAUCUUACCUCCAAUGGAUGCUGCUCCUAGGCCUUCACAUUAUCCUGACAGGCAAGUGUUAGUGUGAAAUACAUGGAAAGCUAAGAUGAGAUGAGAUGGAGGAUCGCCAGGAAACAGGAUACAAGUUACCAGAGCUUAUCCAUGGCAGCUGGCUGGAAGGCUCUUUUGGAGUAGAGGGGUUGAUGCAAACGGUCAGACAGGGGAUAGAUAUAUAUCGUGCAGGAAUUAACAGGUAAUGGCCUCGGGAGAAAAAAAGAGCAGGAAAUAAAAAGCAUUCUUGCGAGUUUUUCGCGGGGAAGUUCCUGCAGAAGUUUCAAAAGUGCAUUGAUAUAGCUCGCGAGAAACAGCAUACCUCCAUCACGUCUUACUUGCUACAUCUCCAAGUUGGAAAAUUUCUAAGACCCGUGUCCGGCCGGCUACUUUCGACCGCCACCAAGCGAUGCUAGUGAAUGGCAAGACUGGGCUGUUGCGAGCCACUGCUCUAGCCUGGGAAUGCCAAGUGGUCAGAUCAUAUUUCAACCAAAGAGAGGAGCUUACCGCACUUGCUUUUGUUGGGGAAACAUAUGUUCCAGGCCAUGCAUGGACUGGAAGGCCAGUGAGAUGCGAUUGUCCACGAGAAAUCUCAGAGCAAUCAUUCUCGAAAGGCACAAAGCCAGUUUGAAAGAGAAGAAGAAAAGAGAAAAACACUGACCAUCAUCCACUGUUGUUUGAGAGUCGAGCACAAAAGAGAUCCUUCUUUGGCGUCACGAAAUCGCAAUCGUCGUGCUUCUUCUACACACAAAUCAAACAUCGCAAUCGCGAGAAAGAAAUGGGGCCACCAUACGGUGGCUGGAUUCUCCGACGGCAAGCUGUGCGGCAUUGUGGGAGCCGCUCCCACCGCUCAUUGCUCCGCCGCAAGCGAUUCGAGGCGCUGUAAUCCUAAUCCAAAUCCUGGAGCUGCGCAUUCCUUCUGGCGCCAAUGGAUCUCACCUCGCAGAAGAAGUUCAAAUAUUUAAUUAUUAUUAAGAAAAUUAAAAUAAUAAGCAAUAUACCAUAUACUGGGAAUAAAGUGGUAUAUUCUCUAGUAUUCAAAGCUCGCUUUUGCGUAGCUAGAAGAGGAGGACCACGCAUUCCUCGCUUCCACAGCACCGCGCAUUUUGAGAGCGUUUGAUGUCCAGCAGCGCGGAGAGGACGAGGAUCGACCGCUUCCGCGCCCGCUGCCGAGGUCUCGUCUCCUCUGGGUGUCGCUGCUCGUUCUCCUGGCCGCGAUCUCGGCUGGAGGAAUCGCGCCUCUCUUCCGUGCACCCGGCAUUGGAUUCCACACCGCUGGAUCGGCCCGGGAUGGAGCAGCAAUGGCGCUGGGGUUUCACUUCCAGGCGCCCCCAAACAGCAGCAUCUGGAUGAUCAGUCCAAACGCCCCGGUGUUCUACCUACCGCGGAUUCUACCAUCUCUUCUACCGAUUCACCACUCCAUCGUCAUCCACGAGCAAGAACCAGAGCUCCUGGGGCCACGCCAUCGCCAAGGACCUCCUCCACUGGACGCAUCUCCCCACGGCGCUGGAUCCCGGGCCAGAGAGGUACGACGAGCAAGGAAUUCUUGGCGGAUCCAUGACGCUUCUCGUCCAGGGCCCCGUGAUCCUCUACACUGGAAUCUCCAGCGAUGGCGCCACCACACAGAAUGCCGCUGUCCCGGUCGAUCCAGGCGACUCCAUGCUCAAGCACUGGAAGAAGAUCGCCCAAAACCCUCUCAUUCCAGCAGGAGGAAGGGUGGCGAUGAGAGAUCCAAGCAGCGCGUGGAGGGAUUCUUCUUGGCGGAUCCUUCUUGGCGGCGAGAAUGCCAGCGAUGGCGUUGGAUUCGUCUACUGGAGCAACGAUUUCCUGGACGGGGAGUGGAAGAGGCUGGAGACACCACUGCUGCGAAUGCCAGGAGCUGGGAUUUUGGAAUCUCCAGAUUUCUUCCAGGUUCCAUCGGCAGGAUUUGCAUCUCGUUGCUUUUAGCAAGGCCAGACUUUUUCGUGGAGUGGCAGCGAGCUCGUUCUUGAGCUGGUGAAAGUCCUCCUCACACUCAUGGUGGCGGGUAUCAGAGGUAAGCUUUUGGAGUGCUUACGUUCUCCCGUUCUGGACGUGCUGCCUUAGGAGAUCAAGCAGAAGUUACAGGAAACGGUUUCUACGUCCAAAGUUCUGGAAAAAGACCUGUUGGAGCUCAUGGCGAUCACAGGUGAUCCUUUCCUCGUCUUGACACGUCGAAGCGGUGGUCACGAUAAUGUACUGCGAAGUGUUGGCAUCGAGCCUUCUCCCGGAGUUUUCAGCUCGAAAGGUUUGCAAGCCACGAGCUGUGAGCGGACCGGGAACUGGUCGAAAAAAGACGAGGCACUGGUUGAGUUGCGAGCAAGUAUGAAAGGAAAGAAGAAGGAAAACGAGUACCGAAGCGAAGCGAAGUCAGUGUUUAGCUCACUCGGCUUGAAAGACGACAACUUUUACGUUCGAGCCUUCCUCACCACGGCGUGCCCGCUCAAGGCAUGAGUUUUAUAUCCUUUUUCUUUUCGAUUCUUUUGAGAACUCUUUCUUUCCUGCAGGCCUCCGCGGACGAUUUUCUACUCGACUUGAGCUCCGCGAUAGAAAUAAUGAAAACGGGACUCAGCAUCAGGCCAAAGCAAGAAAAAGCCCGGUGUUUGCUUCAAAACAUGAUCCUGUUCCAAGGCAAGCUCGAGUGCAUGACAACGCUUCUAAAUCCCAGGGACGCCAGACACGAGCUCCUCGACUUGGCUGCUCUGCAAAAAUCAGUCCAAGCACUGCGAGAGAAGCUUGAGAAAGGGAAGGAACUUCUGCGCGACCACGUCAAAAGGCUGCUAACCAAUCGCUGGGACUUGCGAGAGUGGCAAUAAGCUUGAUCUCAUGUAGAUAGUACCAUAGAGCGAACUACGUAAAAUAGAGAAAACGUUAACAGCAAACAACUAUAAGCAACAGAAACCUUAGCGAUACUUGAAAAAAAUAUUAACUUAGCCACAGUUAAAAUCACAACUUUUUACCUUUCGUUCUAUUGAUAAUUACAGCACGAUUCAUUCCCAAGUGGUGUGUUUGACUCCUUAGAUGAAUAAUUCUCGUAAAUAUCUGAUACACUCUGUUUUGGUCCCACUAGGAUUUCGUAGCUGCCAUAUAAACAUAGCUUCUUUCUGUAAAACAACCAUUAGAUAAUAUCUUGUGAAUGGAAGGUUCAAAGAAUUACCAGCUCACCCACUCUCGGACCACUAACAAUGUGAAAUUCGAGUUUGAGAUCGUCCCCCGUGAGCAAAGGUUUUAAAUUUAACAAUCCUGAAAAAAGUAUUGAAUAUUGAAAACGAAAAAAACUACUACUUACCAGAUAAGCUGAUGCUUUUUAGAAUAGCGUUAAACACGUCUUUCUGCUGGACGCUAGGGGCUGGCACGGAGAGAAAUAAAGCAGCAGCUGACAAGCUGAAGUCCCUGUCUCUGAAGGCUAGGCCGGCCUCUACUCGAAAACUUUCGUUGAAAAAACAAGGUAAUCCUCCAGAAAGUGUACAUUUGCUCAACUCAUACCAAUCUUGCACGGAGGUAUUUCCAAUUACUUUGUACAGUGCUUUCACCUGGUACACGAGACAGUUCAAGAGAGGAAGGAAAUGUAUAGAACGUGUACCUUUUUAAGCAUUGCCUUUAAUCCUAUUCUCUCGGCUAUCGAGCCCAAAACUGUAUCGUUUUCUUUCUUGAAUGGAUAGAGAAUCCACAAGAACAAGACGCCUUUCACCUUCCUCCGUUGAGUAAGUUAAAGAGUCAACACCAAAGUGUUCAGUGUAAGUACCUCAGCAAUGUUGACAGACUCUAGAGUCUCGCAAACGACUUGAAAGUCCUUCACACUAGCAAAGAUUUAAAUGAGUUCGAGAAACGAAAAGGGGACUGAACUGACUACCUUUGCGCACUCACUGGCCUCGUAAAAAUCAGAGGCCAAUAACCAAGCUUGUGCAGCAGGCACAUCGCCCGAGCAGGAUUCUUUCCGAAGAGCAUGGCUUGAAUCUGAAAAACGAAUGUAAGAGGCACACGAAAAAUAAAAACCAAGAGAUCGUAUUCCACCUCCUGAGAAAUGCGCUCCCUGGUGAUCUUUGUUUCGAAUGCAGCCUUCACAGAAUCAGCAGAUGCCACGCACUCCAGUUCCUCGUCCAGCUCAAAAUUAAAGCGCGCCGCUGAUCAGGAAAAAGAAAGGUAAUUAGCUUCCAGAUAGAAUUCUAAGGUGAAGACAAGUAGUCACAGACCAAACCGAAUGGAUCUCAGGACACGCAAUGGAUCAUCUAGAAAAGUAACGAGCGGAGGCAACGGAGUCCUGAUCUUUCCAAGCUUGAGGUCCUUUACACCUGGACAACACAGUUGUGGAAAGAAUGGAAAGAUGAAAUAUACACAAACCUCGACCAGUGAAGUCCUCAACCUUGUCAGCGGCAACGUUGUAGAAGAGGCUGUUGAUCGUGAGAUCUCUCCGGUAAGCGUCUUCGGAAGGUGUUCCAAAUUUCUAGCAAGAAGGAAAAGAGCGUAAGAACAAGAGGAAGUCGAGUGAAAAUCAAAAGCGCCAUAGUACCAUUGAUGUCGGGAUCCUGGAAUCUUUGGAGUACGUCUCGGAUCGGAGAUUAACAACAUCAAGCUCUCCACCCAGGAUCUCCAGCUUUGUCGUUUCUAAAUGCUUGGAUCGUUCUGGAUUGCUACAACAUGUAAAUUCCAGUUAGAAAAAUAACAAGCUCUAGACAACACAAACCUUUUGAUAACUUUGUAAGAACACGGAGGAUCGGUCUUCCUCAAGCACGGGACCACACGAUCACAGAACUGCUGCCCAGUCAUAUCAUCCAGCGCAAUAUCCAAAUCGUGGCUCUCGACGCCAAGGAGCUGCGCAAAUUGAAUUGAGCUAGAACGAUUCAGAGCUAAAUGAUCUAAAACACCAGACCUUAUCGCGCACCCAUCCGCCCGCCACUCUCACCUCGGUCUUCAAGUCGCAUUCACGGAUGGAGAGCGUCGAGAAUCUUCGCUUCCUCGCGCGUGAGCACGAUCGUCGUCAUGAGCUCUAGAACCCUAAAGGAAGAUUCUUUGAGAUUUUAAACUCCCGCCAAAACUUUUUAGGGCUUUUGGCGUAGAAGCUAGAGUUUAAUGCCAUGAGAUGUUCUCGUCACGCGCCUCAAAUCCAUGGUGAGAUGCGCGUCAGGGUUCUCAUAGGUUAAACUCGUGAUUUUCACAGGGCGAUUUGGUGUGUGACCCAUCCUGCGCGGGUAAGAUUGCAUGGUUUCGCGGACGAUCAAAACGAUUCCCAUUUUCCAUCAGGUCCUUCACUCGGCAACAGUAUGAGCUCUGCCCUGCCACAUUCGAAAACUUGCUCAAGCUUAUUGGAAAUGGUGAGCUAUGUUUUUUUUCUUUGGCGAAGUUUCUAUGUUACGAAUGACGCUAUUGCCGAGACUCUGCUGAAGUUCCUCUUGCACCUUGCACGCUUGCUCUGUGGUUUCAUCACGGCCUUACAUCAGUGGUUUCGACGUGCUCGCUGACUUUUGCGACAGGCUUUCAGCGCGCGGUUUUUGCAGCAAGGUACUUAUCAAAGGGCUUUGUUAUCAUUACAUAAAUCUCGGAUUUUGGAGCCGCUUUGGAAAGCAGACAACCUCUCUCUCAUGGUAAUCUAGAUCUGGUAUGAGCCGUUUUGACACCCUUGUUGCAGGUUCGUUGUCCUCCUUCCGUGGAAAAGCUGGCGAAGUUACGGAGGCUGAAGAUGCAGCUCAUUGAAACAGGUGAUAGAUCUUGUUGCAUAUUUCGGGACUGACUAUUGCUCAGCAACGGCGAAAGCAACAACCUUUCCAGGCCUGCCAACCGAGUGUCAACUACUUGUUGUAUGUGGUUUGGCCUUUCAAGGUAACAAAACGGUGCUUCCUUUUGUAAACUAGGUGUUCUUUUUCUGGCAGUGGACUUGGAUUCCCAUAGGCUGGACAAGUCAAUGAGGUGCUUAGAUGUUUUGGUCCUGGCCAAGAACUUCAUCGAUAUUUACUUGACUCUCAAGCUCUCCUGGUGCUUGGGAUACCUCGAGAGGGGUCUCCAUCUCAUACAAGAGGCUUUUCAACGAUGUGAGAUCCGGAGCUUAGCCACCGUGAGCAACGAACUUCUCUACGUUAGCUGACGAUUUUACGUUUUAUAACAUUCUAAUAUGCUUUUCUUUCUUGUAGAGCAUUCUGGAGGUUCUGGAGCUGGAAGGACGAGCGUCCGUGUGAGUUGGGCAGCUCGAUAGAGAGUUUAAUUCCGAAGGUAAGGUAUCUGCAGGGAGCGUGAGUGACAAAUAUUUACAACCUCGUCAAUAGGUGCUGAAAACACUCUCGUUCAGCGACGUGAUAAGUCUCUUCCGAUGGCUUCUUCCCCUCAAGGAAACGUCUGGGCAGGUAUGUAAAGAAGUCUUACGAGUCUUCUUCGUGUUUACGACUGUCCCUUGCUCGCAGCUUCGUCUUCUCCUGAUGCUGCUCCGGACGCUUACCCGAGAAAAAUGGCCUAGCGCGAGCGGUGACUGGAGUUCCGCUCUCUUUUGGGAUGGAGCGAUACGCUUCUAUCGAACUGACGUUGACAAAGCGACCAAGGCAUAUGCUCAUCAGAAGCUUCCGCGAGCAGACGAUUAUUGUUCACUAACUUCGUUGUCCAGGUAGAAAUCGCCGUGAAUGUGUACCUCGGGGUGGUUUGGAUGGAAGGCAAGGGCAAGACUAGUUACACAGGUCUGCUUGCGCGUCCUGACAGGGAAGUGGAGGCUUAAGCCUCUUCGUGAGCAGGGCAAAACCGUUCGUCUCAGCGAGCCACUGUGGAAGCAUGAGGUUGAUAUGGCGCGUUCCAUUAUCGAGUGCGCUCUUCGUGUCAAUUAGGAACCGGAGAGAAACUCUCUCAGGUUUUGAAUACAAUGGAAUAUACGAGAAUAGUUAAAGUGAGAAUAUACCUCCUGCACGACUAAGUUUCUGUAAUUUUAUACUAGGGCAAGCAUGGAAGAACCUCCAAAGGUUGUAUUGACAGAGGUUGAGGAGUUUUGCUCGGGUCUACAGCCGAAUCACGAAGGUAAGUAUGUGAUUUGAUUCCAAUUUUCACCGUUCUUAUAUUUGAUAUCUACCAGCUACUACUAGAGAUGAAGAAACCUACAGGAUGGAUUUCAAAUCUUUGCUGCCAACAAAAGAGGAUCAUGUAGGGAAAGGAUUGGCUAGCGCUCUUCAAUGUUUUCGAGAGAAUGGGAGCUUGAAGGAAUCUAGAGGCGAAUGGAUUGGAAGAAGCAGGGACAAAAGGACACCAGAAAAUGGUAAAUUCGAAUUCAACUUGGACCACCGCGAUGAGCAUGGCCAAACUGUAAGUUUUUGUUCUAUUUACUUUCUGAAUUUACUUAUGUUUGAUGCAGCUGACCCCCAAGGAAGCCUUCCGGCAGUUCUCGCAUAAGUUCCACCAUGUAAAACCGGGGAAAAGGAAGCAAGAGAAGAAGCUAAAGAAGCAAGAACAGGAGCUAAAGAAGAGGAAGAAAGAAGAACACCCUCUGGAGUUUAUGGAGAGAUUGAGAGGCAUUCAAGUCAAGUCAGGAACAGCUUACAUUAGAACUUGACAAGGAGUUAACUUGUCAGCUAAAUGAUUUCUAAUAACGUUGUAUGAGUGCAAUUCUAUUUGCACCAAGGGCUUUCAUACACACGGCCGCAGUAGUGCUAUGGUAAAACACCGCAAUCCUUCUUCCACAAGCCAUUUGGAAGAGGCCAAGAAUUUCUUUGACUUGAUAAAAGACACGCUCCAUCUGGACGAUGCAAAACGCAACUUCGGCUGUACAUCUAGUUUCAGUUGCGUAUGGAAGAGACAGACAACGGCAUCUGGAAUUACUGGCAAAGUUCGAAUGCUUCUAGAUGGAGUAUGCAGAAAAAAGAAUUGUGCACGGUUCAAAGAAGAAUUCGUCGAGAUAGCCCAACUCUGUGGACCGAGAUCUUCCAAUGGCUUUGACGGACCCCAAAUUUUCAUGCUUGCCCUUUGAAGGGACCACUGCUAUUGAAAUUAGACACGAGAGGAAUGCGAGUCACCCACGGCCCGUCCAAUCUAUGAAAACAGCCGUGUGGAGGUAAAAAACACAUAGCUAGCAAUAUAAAAAUCUUUAGGCUCAUGGGGAUAUUAAAUUUUUCUUCAACGCUUCCCUGGAUCCACAAACUCCAGCAGUGCUGGAAGAGCUUAUAUUCUAAGUUUCUGCAAUGUCAAAGGUUCUGCUCAUCAGCUUUCAACGCAUUGGCAGUGGAAGCCUCCAGUUAUUUGGAGGCACUAAUCUCAAGAGCAACGCACAGCCGAAUCGGUUUCGGAAAGGUAAGUUCAUCAAACUAGCUUCGCGCUAAAACUGGCCUGCUAUAUUACUUAUGCAGUUAGCUCCUGUGCUUCAAAGCCAGCUGAGGCUCUAGUAAGUCGAAGCACCAUCUUUACAAGAUUGACUAGAAUGCUUUAUUUCGUUUAAGUGGACCUUAUUCAGUAAAGUGGGACAUUAAUUAGCAUGUGUCCACAUGCCAUUUCCUAGUACUUAAUUAAUAUUUAUUAAUAUUUCUAUCAGUUUUUUAAUUUAUUUUUUAUAUUUCACAAUAUUAUAACACAAAAUCAUAUGAAAAGUUUUUAAUUUAUAAAUUAUAAAGCUAAAACUUCAAUUUUUUAUUGUUGUUAUAAAAAUGGCAUGUGGCCACACACCAUAAGUGGGAUAAUGAAAAAUUCCACUUUAACGAAAUAAAGCAUUAGAGCUGAUUUGUUGACAGGAGAAGCGGGAAAAGGAGAAGCAGCAGCCAUAUCAAGGCAUUCUCCACGUCCAGGCUGGCGAUCGAAUCGAGGAGCUUGAUCACAGAGAAACGUCUCUGCUCGUCAAGGAAGUGAAGGGAUGGCUGAUGAAACUCGCGAGUGGCAAGGGGAAAAUCAGUCCUUCGACUUACGACACCGCCUGGGUCGCCCGAAUCCCGUCCGACUCCGACUCCUCUCUUCCCGAGUUCCCGGAGGCCCUGGAGUGGAUCAUCAACAGUCAACUUCCGGAUGGAUCAUGGGAUGAUGAUUGUCACUUGCAACUCUAUGACAGAGUGUUAUCCACGCUCUCUUGCCUGAUCACGCUCAAGCUCUGGGACAUCGGGCACAACAGCAUUGCGCAAGGCAUGGCUCUUUUCUGAUCUUCUGGUGAUAUCCUGGACUGUUUUCGCCUCUGAUUCUUCGCAGGCACGAAGUUUUUGCGUGAGAACAUGAUCAAGCUCAACCAUGACGAUGGAGAUUUCUUGUCAGGUUUCGAGGUGACGUUUCCAAUGAUGCUCCACGAAGCAAAGCGGGUGGGCCUUAAGCUUCCGUAUGACACAGAGUUCACGAGGUUGCUUGAGAUCUCCACCACGGAGAAAUUGGCAAAGUGUAAUAUUUGGUUUGAAAACGUUUGGUGUUCGUCCAGGAUUCCUUUGGAUAGACUCCAUUCCACUCCCACCACGUUGCUAUACUCCUUGGAGGGCCUUCAAGGUCUUGAGAUUGACUGGCAAAAGAUCCUCAAGCUUCAGUCCAAAGAUGGAUCCCUUUUUAGCUCGCCCUCGUCAACCGCAUGUGUUUACUUGAAGACCAAGGACAAAAAAUCGUUGCAAUACUUGCAAAAAGCUAUGAAACAUCAAAACUAUGCUGGUAAACCGGCUGUCUUCUUCAAUCCUUUGUAGUAAUUGACUAUGCUGUGCAGUUUCUUGUCAUUACCCUAUUGAUCUCUUCGAAAGUUUACGGGUGGUCGACACCAUUGAGCGCUUGGGCAUUGAUCUCUUCUUCAGAGAUGAGAUCAAAGCCGUCCUUGACAACCUGUACAGGUACAAUGCCGCUAUACUUUUAGUACUUACUUUGGGUUUGCACCAGCUUCUGGACAAACGAAGGAAUUGGAUGGGGAUCUACGUGCAUAGUCAAUGACAUCGAGGACACAGCAAUGGCCUUCCGUAUCCUUCGGAUGCAUGGGUAUAGUGUAUCUCCAGGUACAAAAACGUUUUGUGAUGGAAGAAUCUAAAUCUCGGAACUACGCACAGAUGCAUUCAACCAGUUCUGGCUGCCAGGAGACAAGUUUUGUUGCUUUGUUGGUGAAUUGUCCCAUGAGGUCUCUGCAAUGCUCAACUUGUAUCGGGCUUCCCAGGUUGAUUUUCCGAAUGAGGAGACUCUUACAAAGACUUUCAAGUACUCCCACGAUUAUUUACUUAAUGUUGAAAGCUCUCACACAUCGGCAACCAAGAAAAACCUCAUGGGAGAGGUAAUGAGAUCUAGAUAGCUUGAAAAUCCAGAUGUAUCUAUUAUCUCUACAGGUCACAGUGGAGCUAGCAAAUCCAUUUCAUG
rnacentral:lncRNA from 1 species